GGCCAUGGUGGUGAACAUUAGAUAAUAUACUGGAGAAACAAUUACAGUGUUGAAUGUAUCCGGCGCCUAUCAAAUGAUGUAUAGAUAUCAUAAAUGCGGUUAAACCUCCCAAAGGAGGUCACCUUGAUGAUCCAUAACAAUAAUGCAUUUCAUAAACUCCAAAACAAAAUUACACAUCUCGCUUAAAUAGUACGCAUUUCAAAUGAACUAAUUUUUUAGUCUUCCAGUAGAAGUCAAAAGGUUUUUUCAAUCAAUUAAGCAUCAACUAUGCAUCCCCCAUUCACCUAAUUAGGAAAAUUUAAUACGACAAUAUACCAAAAUAAUAGCAGAAAAUGUUGGGUAAACCCGGAAUAACAACAAAAGUAUUCAUGGCAAAAUAAUAGGGAAAAUUAAAUGAAGAUAAUGACACUAAGAUUUUUAUGUGGAAACCCAAUGAGGAAAAAACCACGGGCCAAGAGGAGCAACUGAUAUCUCUGUAGUAAGAAAUUUUGCACUGUAGUCACAAGUACAAUACUCAAAAUGACCACUACACACUCAAAAGAAAUCUCUCUUUUGAUUUUUCCACCUCACUACAAUAUCGC
rnacentral:lncRNA from 1 species